GUGAGGAAUUUUGCGCAAUGGGGGCAACCCUGACGCAGCAACGCCGCGUGAGUGAAGAAGGCCUUUGGGUCGUAAAGCUCUGUCAACAAGGAAGAAAUUACAAUUAUUUAAUAGAUAAUUGUAUUGACGGUACUUGUGGAGGAAGCGCCGGCUAACUCCGUGCCAGCAGCCGCGGUAACACGGGGGGCGCAAGCGUUAUUCGGAAUUAUUGGGCGUAAAGGGCGCGCAGGCGGUCUUGUCCGUCAGGUGUGAAAGCUCGGGGCUCAACCCCGGAAGUGCACUUGAAACAGCAAGACUUGAAUACGGGAGAGGAGAGAGGAAUUCCUGGUGUAGAGGUGAAAUUCGUAGAUAUCAGGAGGAACACCGAUGGCGAAGGCAUCUCUCUGGACCGAUAUUGACGCUGAGGCGCGAAGGCGUGGGUAGCGAACGGGAUUAGAAACCCUAGUAGUCC
rnacentral:rRNA from 1 species